AUUGAACGCUGGCGGCAGGCCUAACACAUGCAAGUCGAACGAAUGGCGGCCGGGUGAGUAAUGUCUGGGAAACUGCCCGAUGGAGGGGGAUAACUACUGGAAACGGUAGCUAAUACCGCAUACCAUCGGAUGUGCCCAGAUGGGAUUAGCUAGUAGGUGGGGUAACGGCGCACCUAGGCGACGAUCCCUAGCUGGUCUGAGAGGAUGACCAGCCCCCCUGAAACGUAGACACGGUCCAGACUCCUACGAGAUGCAGCAUUGGGGAAUAUUGCACGAUGGGCGCAAGCCUGAUGCAGCCAUGCCGCGUGUAUGAAGAAGGCCUUCGGGUUGUAAAGUACUUUCAGCGGGGAGGCGUUACCCGCAGAAGAAGCACCUGCUAACUCCGUGCCAGCCGCCGCGGUAAUAC
rnacentral:rRNA from 1 species